rnacentral:rRNA from 1 species
ACACAUGCAAGUCGAACGAAGUAGCAAUACUUAGUGGCAGACGGGUGAGCUAACAUGUAGGUAUCUGCCCUUUGGCCUGGAAUAACACGAGGAAACUUGUGCUAAUACCGGAUAAGUCUUUACGGAGAAAGCUUUAUGCACCAUUGGAUGAGCCUGCACUUGAUUAGUUUGUUGGUGGGGUAAUGGCCUACCAAGACUGUGAUCAAUAGCUGAUUUGAGAGGAUGAUCAGCCACAUUGGGACUGAGACACGGCCCAAACUCCUACCGG